UAAUGAAUUAAUUGAAGGAAAAAAAAUAUUUCUCCUCUGAUUGUCCAGAUUGUAUCUAAAAUUUUUUUUAUUCAUCUACUUGAUUAAGGAUCAAAAUUUUAUCUGAUAAGCAAUGGAACAAGAGAUCAAAUCUCAAUUUAUCUAGAUUAAACCUUCACGGAGGUCUGGAUGUGCAGACCCCCUACUUCACAUGCACACC
rnacentral:lncRNA from 1 species